rnacentral:lncRNA from 1 species
CUUGCUUGUUUGUGUUCUUAAACUUUGGAUUUAUGUAUCCUUCUCUUUGUACUAAUCUUUAUGAUUAAAUGAAUCAAGUUUUUGACCCAAAAAAAAAAAGAAACCCCUCACAAGCCUCACCUUAGCACCUUAGGAUCAACUCUCCACUCUCUACUCUUUUGCGGUAAAAAAACGAUAGAAGCCCCUAGUGAGAAGAAAGUGGCUGCUCUGGAGUUUAAAAGUCGAGCUUAGGUUUUUC